CCUUUUAUCGGGGAUCUAUAGUCUUCUAUAGAUCCUGUCUGAACCCAUGUCUAUUGCGUACUUAUGUUUCCUCGGCGGACUUGUUCCGCCGACUGGACUCUUCAAAACCUUUUGUAAUUGUAAUCAGCGUCUGAAAAAUAUUUAAUAUUUA
rnacentral:misc_RNA from 1 species